rnacentral:rRNA from 1 species
CUACGGGCGGCAGCAGUGGGGAAUAUUGCACAAUGGGCGCAAGCCUGAUGCAGCAACGCCGCGUGAACGAAGAAGGUCUUCGGAUCGUAAAGUUCUUUUCUUAGGGAAGAAAAAUGACGGUACCUAAGGAAUAAGCACCGGCUAAAUACGGUGCCAGCAGCCGCGGUAAUACGUAUGGUGCAAGCGUUAUCCGGAAUCACUGGGCGUAAAGGGAGCGUAGGCGGUUUUACAAGUCAGAAGUGAAAGGCUACGGCUCAGCCGUGGUAAGCUUUUGAAACUGCAAGACUAGAGUGCAGGAGAGGCAAGUGGAAUUCCUAGUGUAGAGGUGAAAUUCGUAGAUAUUAGGAGGAACACCAGUGGCGAAGGCGACUUGCUGGACUGUAACUGACGCUGAGGCUCGAAAGCGUGGGGAGCGAACAGGAUUAGAUACCCGAGUAGUC